rnacentral:rRNA from 1 species
AACGAACGCUGGCGGCAUGCCUAACACAUGCAAGUCGAACGAGACCUUCGGGUCUAGUUGCGCACGGGUGCGUAACGCCUGGGAACCUGCCCUUAGGUUCGGAAUAACUCCCCGAAAGGGGUGCUCAUACCGGAUAAUGUCUUCGGACCAAAGAUUUAUCGCCUUUGGAUGGGCCCGCGUUGGAUUAGCUAGUUGGUAGGGUAAAAGCCUACCAAGGCGACGAUCCAUAGCUGGUCUGAGAGGAUGAUCAGCCACACUGGGACUGAGACACGGCCCAGACUCCUACGGGAGGCAGCAGUGGGGAAUAUUGGACAAUGGGCGAAAACCUGAUACAGCAAUGCCGCGUGAGUGAUGAAGGCCUUAGGGUUGUAAAGCUCUUUUACACGGGAUGAUAAUGACAGUACCGGGAGAAUAAGCACCGGCUAACUCCGUG